AGCAGCAUGGCGCAGUGGUAGCGCGCGGGGCCCAUAUGUCGUGCUCGUGGUUUGCUCAAUGGUACCCCGAGGUCACUUGAUCGAAACAAGUUGCUGCUA